rnacentral:tRNA from 1 species
UCCCUGAUAUCUCAGUUGGUAAAGAAUCUGCCUGCAAUGCAGGAGAUCUGGGUUCAAUCCCUAGGUUGGGAA